GCAUAAUUGGGAAUUUAGGGUUAAGUGUGAACCUUAGAGCUUGAAGAAAUCCACCUCCGUGAAACGCACGAAACGGCGCCGGUGCUCCUUGCCACUCAUCUUCUCCGACGUAAAUCCCUGGCCACCGUCGUAGACACGACGGAAUGAAUUCAACCUCGCCUCGGUUCCCCUUCCCUCAUCGCUCCUCUCUGAUACAGUGUUGUUGUUGUUGCGGCUUGAUGCGGUGAUGAGGCGAUGAAGAUAUCGGUGAUGAGAAAUCAGAGUAAGUGUUGACGUUGACCUUUUACUUCCUCUCUCUGAUUCUUCUCUUUUUUCUCUGUAGAUUUUGAGGGAUGAAGGUAUCAGAUGCGAGAGACAAAGGAAGUUUCUGCAGAAUCGAUGAUUUGAGAUUGAAGAAUUCGUGAAGAAAGGUGGAUGAAGAAGAUGAUGGAAGUAUGGUGAUUUUCAGAAAGAGUGCGAAGAUGGUCAAGUGAAGGGUGAGGAAUGUAUAUGGAGGAGGAUAAUGGAAGCAGGGUGGUGAAGUCAGGGUGAUGAUGAAUGAAUGAAGAAAGGUUGAAGGUUCUGUAUGUGAAGAUCGAUUCUGAAUCUGAAGAUUGAAGAUGAAAGUGAGGUAUGAAGUGUGGAGAGUGAAUGGUUAUGGGGUGAAGAAGUAGAGUGAAGGCAGAGAAUGAAGCUGAAGAAUGAAGAGAAUCCCUGUUAUAUAGAUAUGCAGCCAAUCGGAUUUUGAAGGUUAGAUCCAUUCUCUGAAUUUUCUAUUAACUGUUUCAGUUAAAUUCUGUUAGAGUCCUGUAACUGAUUCUGUUGGAGGUUAUAUGUCAGUUGGUUAGAGAUUAGAAAAGGUUAGUUACAUGUUAGUAGAAGUUAGUUUGUAACUGAAUCUGUUAUGAGGUUGUUAGGGUUGUUAUGUGGUUUGUAACUAAUUUCUGUUGGAUCUAUCAUAACUGUUAAAACUGCUAGGUGGUUAGAAAUAGUAUGUUACAAACUGCUCUUUUCUGUUAUAAAAAUUGGUUAGAGGUAGUUAAAAUGAACUGACUCAAAUAGGAGGUUAAACUGAAAUUGGUUUAGGAAAGUUCUGUUAUGGCUUUUGGAUGCAGAGCUGAUCUGAAUGUGUAGUUAAUGCAGGUUUUCAAGUGUUUGGAUGCUGCAAGUUUCUGAGCCUUGCUCUUAAUGAUAAGUGAUGCGAACUUAUUUUUUUGUGAUUUGGAAAAGGCUGGAACAUGGCAUUGGCAGUAAGAUGGCAGUGUGAAGUUUGGAGGAGAAGGUCAUUUGAAAGUUUAUGGCAAAGGGUUUAGAAGUAAUAGGCUUUAUGAAAUCAUGUCGUCUUGGUUUGAAGCAUAUCUUUGUGUAGUCUUCUUUGUACUCUCUUUGUAAUGGAAUUGUAUUGUUGUAAUGGAGACAUUUGGUAACAGAACUUGUAAUUUUGA